rnacentral:rRNA from 1 species
UACGUAGGGUGCGAGCGUUAAUCGGAAUUACUGGGCGUAAAGCGUGCGCAGGCGGUUGUGCAAGACAGAUGUGAAAUCCCCGGGCUUAACCCUGGGAACUGCAUUUGUGACUGCACGGCUAGAGUGUGUCAGAGGGGGGUAGAAUUCCACGUGUAGCAGUGAAAUGCGUAGAUAUGUGGAGGAAUACCGAUGGCGAAGGCAGCCCCCUGGGAUAACACUGACGCUCAUGCACGAAAGCGUGGGGAGCAAACAGG